CUACUACAGCCAACACAACAUUUCCAGAAGAGGAGUCUGAAGAACCAAUAAAAGCAAAGGUUUGCAACACCACAGACAUCUCUGCACAAGAUACCAAAGUGGAGAAAGCAAACAUGCUGUCUAUGACUGUGUUGGGUUUGAGAGUCUUGCUGGCAAAAAGUAUCGCCUUCAAUACACUCAUG